CGGUUCGCCCACGGGCGAUUAAAAGGGAACCGGAGUGAGAAUCCCGGACAGUCCCGCUGCUGUGUGCCGCCCCUUUUACUGAACUUGGACAAGAAGCCACUGCACUGUUGUCGGGAAGGCGUCCAUGUUUCGGGCGGCGAGUCAGAAGACCUGCCAUUGCGAG
rnacentral:ncRNA from 1 species